AUUGAACGCUGGCGGCAGGCCUAACACAUGCAAGUCGCACGAGUGGCGGACGGGUGAGUAAUGUCUGGGACAGUGCCUUAGGGAGGGGGAUAACUACUGGAAGCGGUAUCUACUACCGCAUACCAUCAUAAUUGCCCAUAUGGGAUUAGCUAGUAGGUGGGGUAAAGGCUCACCUAGGCGACGAUCCCUAGCUGGUCUGAGAGGAGGACCAGCCACACUGGAACUGAGACACGGUCCAGACUCCUACGGGAGGCAGCAGUGGGGAAUAUUGCACAAUGGGCGCAAGCCUGAUGCAGCCAUGCCGCGUGUAUGAAGAAGGCCUUCGGGUUGUAAAGUACUUUCAGCGGGGAGGCGUUACCCGCAGAAGAAGCACCGGCUAACUCCGUGCCAGCAGCCGCGGUAAUAC
rnacentral:rRNA from 1 species